GGCCGGGUAGCCAAGUGGUAAGGCAGCGGACUGCAAAUCCGCCAUCGUGGGUUCGAUUCCCAUCCCGGCCU
rnacentral:tRNA from 1 species